UCACUCAGACCACACCCCCAUGAGUAGGAUGCAACACUCUAGUAAUGGAGAUGUAAAGUUUUAUAAGUAACGAAGGAGCAGACUAAAGUUAUUAGAACACAAUGGAAUGUCAAGUCUGUAAAUCUUUAAGCCAUGAAGAUGGUUGGAUAGUUCAGGAAUUGGGCUUCUUUUUAUCAUGGGCAGUCCUUUCACUCAGAUGCCCACUUCUCACUGGAGCUGUAGGCUACAUGUGUUGGCUGGCUGGCAUGAUUUGCUGUUGGUGAUGAGGCGGUCAGGGUGACGUUGCAGGGCUAUGGUCGGCCCUUUGUGCUCAACGUUUAGAUUUGCGCUGUAUGGUUUGUACCCUGAAUAAUCUAGAUAAUGGUAAACUGUAGACACGGUUUUGUAUUGAAUGAUUUUAGGUUUAAAGUUGUUGUGGGAUGUACAUGGUAGUUUGGUUCUUCGCAUGGUUUUGAGUGAUAUAACUUGUACACACUGGGUGCAUAAUAAUGUAAAGGUACACUGAAUAGUAUUAAUGACCAACAGCAACAAACGGAUCUCCUCAAGGUAAGUCUGUUGGCUGUGUUUUAAUGAAGACCAUCGCUGGACUUCAGGAUCUUCCUCCGUUCAGCUCAAGGUGAGGCGCUGGUUCUGUUUUUUCUUUGGUUGGUUCCGGCCGGAAUGUUCGGAUUCCAGUCGGACGUUUUGUGCUUCCCGCCGUGGAAGGUUCUGAGUGCGGUCACUUGAUUUAGUCCCAAUGGUUAGCAUAGAACGUUGUAGUCUUGACAACCAUAAGAAACCACCUGGCAGUUAGUUUGACGGGAGUCCCCUGAGGGAAUCUGGCGGAACGUUCUGGAUUGUAUUUGCGUAACCUCGAGGCGUUGCCAACGGAAACUAUUUUUCAGUCGGUUUCCAUUGGGAAUUGUUGCCCCUUAUCUUAAACUAAAGUUUGAUAUUAAAUACAUACUGAGACGUACGUCGUACAAUAUGUUGAUAAUUUCCGAUGGUUGCGCCGUACUUUUAACCACGAUGACGUUGCGGGACUCUCACUGCGUACAAGACAGCGUUCUACUUGCGGGCCCAUUUUUGACAUCAGGGAAGGCUGAAAAUCAUUUCAAGGUGGAAGAUAAUUUGACAUUUCUUCAGCGGAACCCAGCACCUGAAUAUGGCUGAGUAUAUUUGAUUUAAUAUCGAUACUGCUUAGUGUUCUUUGUUACUACUUUUGUACGUUCUAAAUAUCUGCUGUGAUUAAUUGCCACAGAAGUUAAACCCUACCCAAUGGAAUGACGUUAAACAACGACUUUGGUGCAGAGUUACCAACUGGAUAAUAUCAAAGCUAAAAUAAUGGCCGUCAUUCCAUCAUGUUGCAGUAGAAGAUACUCUAGAACUGUACAAGGUUAAAAAGGUAACAUGUAGUUUUUCCCAAGGUGUCUGCCUCCUCACCCAGAGCAUGACCUCCACCUCCUCACCAAGAGCCAGACCUCCACCUCCUCACCCAGAGCCAGACCUCCACCUCCUCACCCAGAGCCAGACCUCCACCUCCUCACCCAGAGCCAGACCUCCACCUCCUCAGCCAGAGCCAGACCUCCACCUCCUCACCCAGAGCCUGACCUCCACCUCCUGUCAGAAGUCCUCCAGAACAGCUGAAAGGCGAGGCUGAGAGGCUGGGGACCGGAGGCUUGUGGUGCCAGGAUGGACCGGAGACUGAGGCUGGAGACCAGGGGCCUGCAGCAACGGACCAGAGGACACACCUGAGCUGAACCUCACCUGAUCCUGUUUGGACGGGGGUAGACACACCUGAGCUAAACCCGCCCUGAUCCUGACAUCCUGCUGGUACCGUCUCCUCAGUUCAUCUGAGCCUAGUCCUCCAGAAGACCUGCUGAGCUCAGCAGUCUGAGGCUGAUGGAUCAAUGACCUCCAGUGGGAGUGAUCUUCUUGACCCCACAUGUAACCGUGUGCUUCCACACGCCUUUCCCUCACGUCUGUCACUAACCUCACUACUUCACUACUCUCUACUGCUUCCUCUUCUUCUUCCUUCUCUGUGGUUCGAACCUUUACACGGAAGGCGCGUCUUCCUGCCCUCAGAGGGUUCAGCGUUAGGGUUGAGAGUCAGGGUUUAGAGUCAGGGACAGAGCUGGUCAGGGAGGACUGCUUUUACACAAACUUCUUCACUUGCUUUCGGAAUGGUGGUGACAUUUUGAAAAGAUUCAUUUGGGAAAAUGUUUUCCUAUGCUUUCCUUUACAAAUUGUAUUAAACUUCUGUCAAGUGUUUUUGUUUACAUAUUAAA